GACGAACGCUGGCGGCGUGCUUAACACAUGCAAGUCGAACGGAAAGGCCCUGCUUUUGUGGGGUGCUCGAGUGGCGAACGGGUGGGUAACACGUGAGUAACCUGCCCUUGACUUUGGGAUAACUUCAGGAAACUGGGGCUAAUACCGGAUAGGAGCUCCUGCUGCAUGGUGGGGGUUGGAAAGUUUCGGCGGUUGGGGAUGGACUCGCGGCUUAUCAGCUUGUUGGUGGGGUAGUGGCUUACCAAGGCUUUGACGGGUAGCCGGCCUGAGAGGGUGCCCGGCCACAUUGGGACUGAGAUACGGCCCAGACUCCUACGGGAGGCAGCAGUGGGGAAUAUUGCACAAUGGGCGGAAGCCUGAUGCAGCAACGCCGCGUGCGGGAUGACGGCCUUCGGGUUGUAAACCGCUUUCGCCUGUGACGAAGCGUGAGUGACGGUAAUGGGUAAAGAAGCACCGGCUAACUACGUG
rnacentral:rRNA from 1 species